GCGGGAGUGGCGAAAUGGCAGACGCACUACUUUGAGGUGGUAGCGCCGAGAGGUGUGGGGGUUCAAGUCCCCCCUCCCGCA
rnacentral:tRNA from 1 species